rnacentral:rRNA from 1 species
UGCAUGGCUGUCGUCAGCUCGUGUCGUGAGAUGUUCGGUUAAGUCCGCUAACGAGCGCAACCCUCGUCGUAUGUUAUAUGUGUCAUACGAGACUGCCGGUAAAAAGCCGGAGGAAGGUGAGGAUGAUGUCAAGUCAGCAUGACCUUUAUAUCCAGGGCUACACACGCUACAAUGGUCUGUACAAUGGGUAGCCAAGCCGCGAGGCGGAGCCAAUCCUGAAAGCAGGCCUCAGUUCAGAUUGCAGUCUGCAACUCGACUGCAUGAAGCCGGAGUUGCUAGUAACCGCAGGUCAGCAAUACUGCGGUGAAUACGUUCCCGGGUCUU